rnacentral:lncRNA from 1 species
CUGCAGGGUAAGGAGCUGAAGCUACAGCAAAAAGAAAACAACUCAGAACGUUGACUUUGAACUCAAGAACUGCUGCUUGAUGGAGAAGGUCAACUUAGAGCAGCAGCAUUCAACCUUCUUCAGUUUAAAGACAGGUAAGAGCCUCUGACUCCUCUUCUGCGAGAACAUGUGCUCCUGUGCCUCUCAGCAGCUCCAGCAAUCAAAGUGCUUUGGUAGUUGCCAAUAUAUAUGUAAUUGAAGAGGCAGCUAGUAGGUCAUCCCAGCACCUUCAGACCUCCGAAAAUACCUAAGUAGGUGGGGAUCUCUCUUAUUUAUAAUAACUAUUUCAAUUCAGUUUUAGCUGCCUUUGUUCCUUGUUAAGUUAAUCCUGAGCUUUACUAUUGUUAUUUUUAUUUUAUUGUCUUUUCUAUUAUUAUUAUUUUCUGGACAAGAUAGUUUUC